rnacentral:rRNA from 1 species
AGACGCGAAACCAAGUGAUCUACCCUUGGCCAGGUUGAAGGCUGGGUAACACCAGCUGGAGGACCGCACCAAUAAGCGUUGAAAAGCUUCUGGAUGAGCUGAGGGUAGGGGUGAAAGGCUAAUCAAACUUGGAGAUAGCUCGUACUCCCCGAAAUGCAUUUAGGUGCAGCCUUGUGGGUUACUGAUGUGAGGUAGAGCGACUGAUAAGAUGCGAGGGCUUCACCGCCUAUCAAGUCUUGACAAACUCCGAAUGCGCAUCAGUUUUACCUCAGGAGUGAGGGCAUGGGUGCUAAGGUCCGUGCCCGAGAGGAGAAGAAUCCGGACCACCUGCUAAGGUCCCGAAAUGACAGCUAAGUUAAACUAACGAAGUCUGACUGCUAAGACAGCUAGGAUGUUGGCUUGGAAGCAGCCAUUCAUUUAAAGAGUGCGUAACAGCUCACUAGUCGAGGAGUCUGGCGUGGAUAAUAAUCGGGUAUUAAGUUGUCUACCGAAGCAGUGGGAUCAUUGAAAUGAUCGGUAGGGGAGCAUUCCAGUCAGCGUCGAAGGCGUACCGCGAGGUAUUCUGGAGCGUCUGGAAAAGCAAAUGUAGGUAUAAGUAACGAUAAAGGGGGCGGGAAACCCCCUCGCCGAAAGACUAAGGUUUCCUGAUCAACGCUAAUCGGAUCAGGGUAAGUCGGGUCCUAAGGCUCAGCCGAAGGGCGAUGCCGAUGGCAGAAACGGUUAAUAUUCCGUUACUACCUCCAGGAGUGAUGUGGAGACGCAGUAGUGACAAUGCCGCCAUCUGACGGAAUAGAUGGUUGAAGGGUGUAGAUGUUGAUCUUGGCAGGCAAAUCCACCAUGAGAAUCGAACCUGAUAGUAUGCCGCGUCCCUCGGGACAAGGCAAUAGUGCAUGUAAUCAUGCUGCCAAGAAAAUCCGCUAAACUAAAUCCUGUAGGUACCCGUACCGUAAACGGACACACGUAGUCGGGAUGAAUAUUCUAAGGCGCUUGAGUGAUUCACGGUUAAGGAACUAGGCAAACUGACCCUGUAACUUCGGGAUAAAGGGUCCCUACCCGGUGACGGGAGGGCGCAGAGAAUAGGUCCAGGCAACUGUUUAACAAAAACACAGGGCUGUGCUAAAUCGAAAGAUCCUGUAUACAGCCUGACACCUGCCCGGUGCUGGAAGGUUAAGAGGAGACGUCAUCGUUGAGAGAAGCGUUGAAUUGAAGCCCCAGUAAACGGCGGCCGUAACUAUAACGGUCCUAAGGUAGCGAAAUUCCUUGUCGGGUAAGUUCCGACCUGCACGAAUGGUGUAAUGAUCUGGACGCUGUCUCAACCGUGAGCUCAGUGAAAUUGUAGUAUCGGUGAAGAUGCCGAUUACCCGCGAUGGGACGAAAAGACCCCGUGAACCUUUACUAUAGCUUAUCAUUGAAUCUGGGCACGUGAUGUGUAGGAUAGGUCGGAGGCUUUGAAGGGGGUACGCCAGUAUCCUUGGAGCCGCUGUUGAAAUACGACCCUUCAUUUGUUUGGAUUCUAACCCGUGUAUAUGGGGACACUGAUUGGUGGGUAGUUUGACUGGGGUGGUCGCCUCCAAAAGCGUAACGGAGGCUUCUAAAGG